AGAGUUUGAUCCUGGCUCAGGACGAACGCUGGCGGCGCGCCUAACACAUGCAAGUCGAACGAGCGAGAGAGAGCUUGCUUUCUCGAGCGAGUGGCGAUCGGGUGAGUAACGCGUGAGGAACCUGCCUCAAAGAGGGGGACAACAGUUGGAAACGACUGCUAAUACCGCAUAAGCCCACAGGUCGGCUUCGACCAGAGGGAAAAGGAGCAAUCCGCUUUGAGAUGGCCUCGCGUCCGAUUAGCUAGUUGGUGAGGUAAUGGCCCACCAAGGCGACGAUCGGUAGCCGGACUGAGAGGUUGAACGGCCACAUUGGGACUGAGACACGGCCCAGACUCCUACGGGAGGCAGCAGUGGGGAAUAUUGCACAAUGGGGGAAACCCUGAUGCAGCGACGCCGCGUGGAGGAAGAAGGUCUUCGGAUUGUAAACUCCUGUUGUUGAGGAAGAUAAUGACGGUACUCAACAAGGAAGUGACGGCUAACUACGUGCCAGCAGCCGCGGUAAAACGUAGGUCACAAGCGUUGUCCGGAAUUACUGGGUGUAAAGGGAGCGCAGGCGGGAAGACAAGUUGGAAGUGAAAUCUAUGGGCUCAACCCAUAAACUGCUUUCAAAACUGUUUUUCUUGAGUAGUGCAGAGGUAGGCGGAAUUCCCGGUGUAGCGGUGGAAUGCGUAGAUAUCGGGAGGAACACCAGUGGCGAAGGCGGCCUACUGGGCACCAACUGACGCUGAGGCUCGAAAGUGUGGGUAGCAAACAGGAUUAGAUACCCCGGUAGUCCACACCGUAAACGAUGAUUACUAGGUGUUGGAGGAUUGACCCCUUCAGUGCCGCAGUUAACACAAUAAGUAAUCCACCUGGGGAGUACGACCGCAAGGUUGAAACUCAAAGGAAUUGACGGGGGCCCGCACAAGCAGUGGAGUAUGUGGUUUAAUUCGACGCAACGCGAAGAACCUUACCAAGUCUUGACAUCCUGCGACGAUGCUGGAAACAGUAUUUUCCUUCGGGACGCAGAGACAGGUGGUGCAUGGUUGUCGUCAGCUCGUGUCGUGAGAUGUUGGGUUAAGUCCCGCAACGAGCGCAACCCUUACUGUCAGUUACUACGCAAGAGGACUCUGGCAGGACUGCCGUUGACAAAACGGAGGAAGGUGGGGAUGACGUCAAAUCAUCAUGCCCUUUAUGACUUGGGCUACACACGUACUACAAUGGCGUUAAACAAAGAGAAGCAAGACCGCAAGGUGGAGCAAAACUCAGAAACAACGUCCCAGUUCGGACUGCAGGCUGCAACUCGCCUGCACGAAGUCGGAAUUGCUAGUAAUCGUGGAUCAGCAUGCCACGGUGAAUACGUUCCCGGGCCUUGUACACACCGCCCGUCACACCA
rnacentral:rRNA from 1 species